rnacentral:misc_RNA from 1 species
AGCGUGAGGUCGGAAGUUCAAGUCUUCCCAGGCCCACCAUUUUGAUCGAGUGCGGAGCAUUCGUCUUCUGGUACGGGGCCAUAGCUCAGCUGGGAGAGCGCGUGCUUUGCAAGCAUGAGGUCGUCGGUUCGAUCCCGUCUGGCUCCACCAGAUGGAAUUGAAGCUCGAGAGUGCCUCGUCAAAUUCGUCCGCGAAACAUCACUUCGCACUCAUUGGUCCGGAUGGACGGUGACGUGCGUGUUUUCUGACAUCGUAAAGAGGAGAUCGAUCCGAGUUUGGAUCUGCGAAGCAAUUCGCGGGUACCAUUCCUAAUCUCCAGAUCGUUUUCGGCGCUCGUUCAUCGCUACUCAUCGCAAGAUGAGUGAGAUGAGUGAGUUGUAAAACGAUCUUUGUAGCGAAGCUUGACCGCCUCGCUAUCGGGCCGAUCUUACGAAGCAAGCUGGUCGUUUCUAGUCAAUGUCCGGCUGUGCAAUCGCAUUCAUCGAGGAUGCACGCCUGGGACUUCGGUCUUUGGGCAAUUACACAGACAACAUUCUGCCGAGUGUGUGGACAUUGAUAAUGAGAGCAAUCAAGUGCCUUAAGGGUGUUCGGUGGAUGCCUUGGCGCUGAGAGGCGAUGAAGGACGUGCUACGCUGCGAUAAGCCGUGGGGAGCUGCGAA